AUGAGACUGAAGCUCAAAGAAGUUAAGUAACUUGCCAAAAGACUCCCAGCUAAAAGUGUGAGAGCAAAGACUCAAACCAAGGCAGUCUUCUGGUUUCAGAGCCUGAAGUCUUAACCAGGUGAGAAUAAAACUUCCAGCAUGCUUAUGUGUGUGCUUAUCUGUGAAUGACCCCAGAGCUGACUGCAGAUGUUGAGAGAAGAGGUAACUUUGACCAAAUGCAGUCAUGACCUCAGGUGUGGGCAAGUCCUUGUUCCCUACCUGGACUUGGCUAGGCCUGCAGGUCAUACAGGAAGAACAGUCCCUCUGAAGGUGACCAUAAUCCACAGGGCAGGGUGUGGAAAGUGACAGAGGUGAAUUUAUUAAAUGACUUGGUCAAGUCCCCACAGCUGGUCACUGGCAGAAGCAGCAGAAACAAAUAGGCAGCAUUAUCUAUUCUCCCAGUCAACAAACAGCCUUUGAGCCCAGCUAUGCCUGGCACUGUCUCUGCAGUCAAGCCCCAGACUUACAAUACUGAUUUUAAGUCCAACUAUAUAAUUAGCUGGACUACAUUUUAAAUAUGUGUACUAGGGAAACAGGAGGGACCCUAUAGUCUUUUAUAUGCUCAAGUGUUCAGUGCUUCUGCAGGAGGCAGAGAGCUAAAAGAAGAGAGAAGUUUGAUGGGAGAAAAUAAUUUCCUGGUUGCAAAAGAUAAGAAAAGGAAUUCACUCAGGAACUCAAGACCACAAGGUAGACACACACAGUCUCUGCUCAAGUUUUGCCAAGCUCUGUACAGAAGAAACCAUGUUCUUUGUUUUUUCAAGUUCCUUUUAAGUGGGAUAAAAAAGUGGAUUGGGGCCAGGCGCGGUGGCUCAUGCCUGUAAUCCCAGCACUUUGGGAGGCCUAGGCAGGCAGAUCAUGAGGUCAGGAGAUCGAGACCAUCCUGGCUAACAUGGUGAAACCCCGUCUCUACUAAAAAUACACACAAAAAAUUAGCUGGGCAUGGUGGUGGGCGCCUGUGGUCCCAGCUACUUGGGAGGCUGAGGCAGGAGAAUGGCAUGAACCCAGGAGGCGGAGCUUGCAGUGAUCCGAGAUCUCACCACUGCACUACAUCCUGGGUGACAGAGCGAGACUCCAUCUCAAAAAAAAAAAAAAAAGAAAGAGUGGAUUGGCCCCACCUUUCAUCGUACACAAAAGUAAGUUAAAAAUACAAUUCUGAAAAGCUUUACUUAGAAUUUUUUCAGAAGAAAAUAUAGGAGAAUUUUUUUUUACCUCAGCCCGUGGAUGAAUUUUGUAAACUUGGAAAAAUAAGAUUGGAACAAUAAGCACAGGAUAUAAAGGAAGACAAUACAUUUGACCACACUGGAAUUAAAAACUUUGGUUUACUAAAAGAGUUUGUUUGUUUGUUUUGAGGUGGAGUCUUGCUCUGUCGCCCAGGCUGGAGUGCAGUGGCACGAUCUCGGCUCACUGCAAUCUCAGCCUCCCGGGUUCAAGCAAUUCUUCUGCCUCAGCCUCCAGAGUAGCUGGGAUUACAGACACCUGCCACCGCACCCGGCUAAUUUUUGUAUUUUUAGUGGAGACGGGGUUUCACCAUGUUGCCCAGGCUGGUCUCGAACUCCUGACCUCGUGAUCCGCCCGCCUCGGCCUCCCAAAGUGUUGGGAUUAGGCGUGAGCCACCGCCCAGCUAAAGAUAUUGUUUAAAGCUUGAAAAGACAAGCCAUAGACUGGAAGAAGGUAUCUCCAAUCCAUGUAUUUACAAAGAACUAGUUUCCAGACUAUGUAAGAAGUUCUGUAAUCAAUGAGGAAAAAACACAACUCCACAGAAAAAUGGGCAAAAGAUGAGAAUGGGCAGUUGACACAAGUGAAAAUCCAAAUGGCCAAGAAACAUCAGUAGAUGCCCACCCUCAUCAGUAACCAGGGAAAUGCAAAUGAAACCACAAUCAGAUGCCGUGCCACACUUUUCAAAUGGAAAAAAAUGAUCAACUUUCACUGUCCCAGUAGCAGGAUCACUGCUAGUGAGGGCGUAAACUGAUUCAGCUACUUUGGUGUGUGCUUUUAUGUUUCAUAUCUUUUAAUGGAGAGAAGGCAAUGCAUAGAGUGCACAAAUCUUUUUUAUUUAUUUAUUUAUUUAUUUAUUUAUUUUGAGAUGGAGUCUCGCUCUGUCGCCCAGGCUGGAGUGCAGUGGCGAGAUCUCGGCUCAUUGAAAGCUCUGCCUCCUGGGUUCAUGCCAUUCUCCUGCCUCAGCCUCCUGAGUAGCUGGGACUACAGGCGCCCGCCACCACGCCCGGCUAAUUUUUUGUAUUUUUAGUAGAGACGGGGUUUCACCCUGUUAGCCAGGAUGGUCUGGAUCUCUUGACCUUGUGAUCCACCUGUCUUGGCCUCCCAAAGUGCUGGGAUUACAGGCGUGAGCCACCACGCCCGGCCACAGUACACAAAUCUUAAGUGUAUACCGAGGUAACCACCACCCGCAUGGAGGCAUAGAAUCUCUCCAGAACCCCCACUGGGUUCCUUCCUGCCCCUUCCCACUUUAUACCUCCCUCCUCAAGGUACCGUUACCUUACUGCUUUUCAUUACAGAUUCAUUUAACCUGUUCUAGACUUCAUAUAAUUUUUGGUUUCUUUCAUUCAACAUACCUGUUAGAUCCAUCCAUGUUGUUGGCAUGUAGGAGUAGUUUGUUCCUUUGUAUUGCUAAGUAGUAUUCCAUUGUGUAGAUACACCAUAAUUUAUUUCUGCAUUCUCCUAUUGAUUGGAAUUUGAAUUCUUUCCACUUCGGGGACUAUUAUGAAUAAAGCUGCUAGAAAUAUUAUUGAUGUGAAGUAUAGCAACUCUGGUGAGCAAUUUGGAUUCUCUAGUUAACUUGAAAAAGUGUAUACUCUAUGACCCAGCAAUUCCAUUCCUAGGAAAAUAUGUUAGAGAAACUUUCAUACGUGUUAAGAAACAUGAGUAAAAAUGUCUGUAGCUGUUUUGUUAAUAGUUACAAAAACAAAACAAAAUAAAAUAAUCUUAAAUGCCCACCAA
rnacentral:lncRNA from 10 species